AAUGAACGUUGGCGGCAUGGAUUAGGCAUGCAAGUCGAGCGAGAAGUGUAGCAAUACACGGAAAGCGGCGGAAGGGAGAGUAAUACGUGGGAAUCUGCCCUUAGACCUGGGAUAGCAGCGGGAAACUGCUGGUAAUACCAGAUAAUGUCUAUGGACCAAAGGUGUGAUUCCGUCUAGGGAUGAGCCCACGUCCUAUUAGCCAGUUGGUAGGGUAAUGGCCUACCAAGGCGAUGAUGGGUAGCGGGUGUGAGAGCAUGACCCGCCCCACUGGGACUGAGACACUGCCCAGACACCUACGGGUGGCUGCAGGCGAGAAUCUUCGGCAAUGGGCGCAAGCCUGACCGAGCGAUGCCGCGUGCGGGAUGAAGGCCUUCGGGUUGUAAACCGCUGUCGAGGGGGAGCAACGUCCAUAGAGUUAUCUUUAUGGAUUGAGUGAUCCCUGGAGGAAGGACGGGCUAAGUUCGUGCCAGCCGCCGCGGUAAAAC
rnacentral:rRNA from 1 species